UGGCCCAGUAGUUUCAGUGGAAAAUGUUAGUUAAAAUUUACAAAUUUUAUGAAAAUUGUUAAAAAUUGACUAUAAAGGACAAUAACUCCUUUGGGGGUCAAUUGACCAUUUCCAAAUGUUGACUUAUUUGUAAAUCUUACUUUGCUGAACAUUAUUGCUGUUUACAGUUUUUCUAUAUCUAUAAUAAUAUUCAAGAUAAUAACCAAAAACAGCAAAAUUUCCUUAAAAUUACCAAUUCAGGGGCAGCAACCCAACAACGGGUUGUCCGAUUCAUCUGAAAAUUUCAGGGCAGAUAGAUCUUGACCUGUUAAACAAUUUUACUUCAUGUCAGAUUUGCUCUUAAUGCUUUGGUUUUUGAGUUAUAAGCCAAAAACUGCAUUUUACCCCUAUGUUCUAUUUUUAGCUGUGGUGGCCAUCUUGGUUCGAUGGCUGGGUCACCGGACACAUUUUUUAAAGUAGAUACCCAAAAAAUGAUUGUGGCCAAGUUUGGAUUAAUUUGGUCCAGUAGUUUCAGAGGAGAAGAUUUUUGUAAAAGAUAACUAAGAUUUACGAAAAAUGGUUAAAAAUUGACUAUAAAGGGCAAUAACGCCUAAAGGGGUCAACUGACCAUUUCGGUCAUGUUUGACUUAUUUGUAGAUCUUACUUUGCUGAACAUUAUUGCUGUUUACAGUUUAUCUCUAUCUAUAAUAAUAUUCAAGAUAAUAACCAAAAACUGCAAAAUUUCCUUAAAAU
rnacentral:lncRNA from 1 species